UACGUAGGUGGCGAGCGUUAUCCGGAUUUACUGGGCGUAAAGCGCUUGUAGGUGGUCUUGUAAGUUGGGCGUGAAAACACCGGGCUUAACUCGGUGACGCCGUCCAAUACUGCGAGGCUGGAGGAUGUCAGAGGAAGGUAGAAUUCCUGGUGUAGUGGUGAAAUACGUAGAUAUCAGGAGGAACACCCGUGGCGAAGGCGGCUCACUGGCCCGGUACUGACGCUCAGGUGCGAAAGCGUGGGGAGCAAACAGG
rnacentral:rRNA from 1 species